CAGUCGCCACGGUAAUACGUAGGGUGCAAGCGUUAAUCGGAAUUACUGGGCGUAAAGCGUGCGCAGGCGGUUUGUUAAGACAGAUGUGAAAUCCCCGGGCUCAACCUGGGAACUGCAUUUGUGACUGGCAGGCUAGAGUAUGGCAGAGGGGGGUGGAAUUCCGCGUGUAGCAGUGAAAUGCGUAGAUAUGCGGAGGAACACCGAUGGCGAAGGCAGCCCCCUGGGCCAAUACUGACGCUCAUGCACGAAAGCGUGGGGAGCAAACAGGAUUAGAUACCCCAGUAGUCCCUGUCUCUUAUAC
rnacentral:rRNA from 1 species